rnacentral:rRNA from 1 species
UACGUAGGUGGCAAGCGUUGUCCGGAUUUACUGGGCGUAAAGGGCGCGUAGGCGGCACUGUUAGUCAGGCGUGAAAGUCCUGGGCUCAACCUGGGAACUGCGCUUGAUACGGCAGAGCUAGAGGAUGGAAGAGGGUCGCGGAAUUCCCAGUGUAGAGGUGAAAUUCGUAGAUAUUGGGAAGAACACCGGUGGCGAAGGCGGCGACCUGGUCCAUUACUGACGCUGAGGCGCGACAGCGUGGGGAGCAAACAGG